UACAGAGGGGGCAAGCGUUGUUCGGAAUUACUGGGCGUAAAGGGCGCGUAGGCGGCCUGUUAAGUCGAACGUGAAAUCCCCGGGCUCAACCCGGGAACUGCGUCCGAUACUGGCAGGCUUGAAUUCGGGAGAGGGAUGCGGAAUUCCAGGUGUAGCGGUGAAAUGCGUAGAUAUCUGGAGGAACACCGGUGGCGAAGGCGGCAUCCUGGACCGAGAUUGACGCUGAGGCGCGAAAGCCAGGGG
rnacentral:rRNA from 1 species